rnacentral:rRNA from 1 species
CGUAGGUAACCUGCCUGGUAGCGGGGGGUAACUAUUGGAAACGAUAGCUAAUGCCGCAUAAUAGCAGUUGUUGCAUGACAACUGUUUGAAAGGUGCAAUUGCACCACUACCAGAUGGACCUGCGUUGUAUUAGCUAGUUGGUGGGGUAACGGCUCACCAAGGCGACGAUACAUAGCCGACCUGAGAGGGUGAUCGGCCACACUGGGACUGAGACACGGCCCAG